UACUGAAACGGGCCUAAGCUCCGCGCCAUUCGCGGAGCGCGGGGGAACCGAGCACUCGGGGCGAAUUGGCAUCGCGCCAUAGGACACUUCCGAAGUCCGAGCCCGUCAGCUAACCCCGCCGGCGCUUUUCGGGAGCGCGU
rnacentral:sRNA from 2 species